GAGGAGAUAGCUCAGUGGUUGAGAGCACUAACUGCUUUUCCAGAGAACCUGGGUUCAAUUCCCAGCAUCCAUA
rfam:Mesocricetus auratus contig142912, whole genome shotgun sequence.